rnacentral:rRNA from 1 species
AACAGCCGCAGUAUAUUAACUGUGCAAAGGUAGCAAAAUAAUUUGUCUCUUAAUUAGAGACUGGUAUAAACGGUCUGACGAGGAAAAACCUAUUUCAAAAUUUUAUUAUAAAUUGACAUAUAAGUAAAAAGGCUUAUAUAACCCAGCAAGACGACAAGACCCUAUAAAACUUUACCUUUUAAGAUAUAAAACCAGAAAAUAUAAUCCCACAAAGGGUUUAACUGGGGCGGUAUUUAUACAACUUCUAACUAUACAAAUUUCACCAUAUAUAAAUGAACAAAUAAAUCUUACAUAAAACAUAAAAAAAAGUUACUUUAGGGAUAACAGCAUAAUACUCUUAAAGAGUCCAAAUCGACAAGAGUGAUUAUGACCUCGAUGUUGAAUUGGGAAACCAUCUAAAAGC